rnacentral:rRNA from 1 species
CCUACGGGCGGCAGCAGUGAGGAAUAUUGGUCAAUGGACGAGAGUCUGAACCAGCCAAGUAGCGUGAAGGAUGCCUGCCCUAUGGGUUGUAAACUUCUUUUAUAUGGGAAUAAAAUGUUCCACGUGUGGGAUUUUGUAUGUACCAUAUUAAUAAGGAUCGGCUAACUCCGUGCCAGCAGCCGCGGUAAUACGGAGGAUCCGAGCGUUAGCCGGAUUUAUUGGGUUUAAAGGGAGCGUAGGUGGAUUGUUAAGUCAGGUGUGAAAGUUUGCGGCUCAACCGUAAAAUUGCAGUUGAAACUGGCAGUCUGGAGUACAGUAGAGGUGGGCGGAAGUCGUGGUGGAGCGGUGAAAUGCUUAGAUAUCACGAAGAACUCCGAUUGCGAAGGCAGCUCACUGGACUGCAACUGACACUGAGGCUCGAAAGUGUGGGUAUCAAACAGGAUUAGAUACCCCUGUAGUC